ACGCGAGCGCCACGGGCCUGUUAUGGCGGCUCGACUCGGCGGCUUCACUACUCAGCGGGCCGGGCCGGGCCGGGCUGGGCCGCCUCCUCCUCCUUACUCUCCUGGGGGUGGAGGAGCCCGCGCCACUGUGUACUGCAGAGACUAAAAAGGCGGCAGAUAUGGAAAGUUAGUUCUGUAAUUUGUACUUCUGGUAAAGGUUACCUGGCCACUCCAUCCCGUGUACGCUCAGGUCAGAACUAGGAGAAGGGGGCCUCUCCUCCCCCAUCAGGUGUUUGUUGUAGUCCCUCCCAGGCACAGGUUCGUGCCGUUGCGUAAAAAGCAGGCCCAGGAAGCUGAGCCAGCUGAGAAGGAGCUAUGCAUUUCUUCCGUUGAAUUAAUUUAAUGAGGGAUUGGUCUUCGGGUCUGGCUCACAAGGGAGUCCGUGCAGAGGCCUGUGCCAGCCCAGGAGAGAAGGCAGGGGCCGAUGAAGCAGAGGAAGGUGAGGCCAUGCCUUCAAGCAACAGCUGGAUUUCUUCAGGGUUGCAGAAUUCGUGUAGCCCAGGAGAACACUAUGGGACAGUUCUCUUGUUUUGAUUCACUCCAAUGCUGAGCUGAGUCCCCUCAGACACUGACUCAGUGAGGGCAUUGUGACCUUACUCAGUUUCUACGAAGACUGGAUUGUGCAUAUAUAUCCUUUGUCCUGCAAGAAACCCUCAACACUCCAUCCAUUUAGUGAGUAGUCUCUGGUAGUACCUUGCACCUCUGAGAAGCUACUCCUGGAAGACAGCAUCAGCAGCAGAUGGGCGAGAUACAGCGGAAUAUUCUUGGACCUUGGUACUGGUGAGGGCAUGUGAAUCUUAUUGGGAGUAGCAGAAAAACAAGACAGAGCUCCUGGAGAGGGAGAGGUAACUAUGGGGCUUUCAGUGUGCACUUCUCUGCUCAGACACACUCUUUCUUGUGCGACUGAAAAGAAGUAAACUGAGACAGGAGUGCAUGGGGAGAUGCAAACCCUCAGGUUUAUUUCUUAGCGCACUGUUGACCUGCUGUGGCAGGCUGAGUGACCUUCUCACUUUUCUCACCCACAAGGUUUGGAUUCUGUCUUGUAGGGCUGGAGCUGCCCUUCCUACAUAUCUGUGCAAUAUACAGUGAAAUAAACCUGGGAUCAUUAGAAACAUAACACAAAGAAAUAUUCUAUUUCUGCUGUCUCUGUUUAUCCCUGCAGUGAAGAGUUAGCGCUUGGCUCUCCUCUGUCAGCUGUGGCGAGGAGUCCAGCAGCAUAAGUGCAAGAAGAAGAGACCCAGUUCUGCUGAUAGUCAAAUAUAAUACAUGAACCAGGUGAACUGUGUCCACCCACCAGCAGACAGGCCACUCUCAAACGCUGCUGGAAACAAGAUGAAGUGGAAGGUACUGGCACUGUACAUGAUGAACACGUGCAAGGCUUGACACUGCUAUAGUGUCUUGGUACGACACAUGAUGUUGAACAGACUGUUUUGCAUACAGCUCUUGGUCCACAGCAACUAAUGAGAUCUAGAAACAUGCCCUGGAAGAAUGGCUAAAGCUUGCUCUGGGCCCAGCUGCAGCUGUGUCCUGGUGGGAAGUGCUGAGCAACUCUGCUCUGGUUCCAGGAGCUGGGGUCCCACCUGAGGUCCCGGAACAUGUUGGGAAAGAAAUGGGAAACUGGUAGUGCUGACAGCACUGUAUCGCUGGCCAGGGGUAUGUGUACAAAUCACAAACGGGACGGGACUGCUGUGGACCAUGCCUUGAGCUGUUUUAUUUUUCAGCAUCAAUCUCAUUACAUGGUUAUGACAGUAGGAAGAUGCCAGCAGCUC